rnacentral:misc_RNA from 1 species
UACGAUACAAACAGAAAUAAAAUGUUAAAACAUAAGAUAUGAGAGAAAAUCACUUUACAAACACACGAGACCUAUGUUACAUGAGAUAUAUAAAAAGAAGCUAAACCUUUUAUACAGCACUAAUAAUGUACACAAAAAGAAUGGAAUCCUUGCAGAAAUAAACACAUUAUAAUUUGGAUCUGUACAAUGUAGAUUGAUAUCAGAGCGCUUGAGAGUAUCGCGUGUAAGUUUAUACUAAUCGUGAAUCAUUAUCUCCUGGCAGAUUCUGGUUCAUGGCCCCUAUGUGAUGAAUCAGCUCGAUCAAGUCGAAUGUCUUUCCAUGAGCUUGCGUUUGAUGAUUUGAGCAACAAGCCUAGAGCUGAAGAACAAGUUGCUCUAACGAUUGCAUCUGUUGAACGACUCAUUUUGCCAACAAGCAUCCCGAAAACCUGAUUGUAGUAAUGGGAUGAUAUGUGUUUAUCAUCGGAGAGAGAAAGCACGCUGCUGCAUAAAUAAACCGCAUUUGCCUGGACAACUGGCCAAGGAGCAUCAAAUGCCUGUAUUAUUGAUGCCAUGUACCUAUCUACUCGGGUAGCAAGAUUUUGAGUUAGUUGCCUUGCAAGUUCUCGAAGAAAGUCUUCAUAGUCGCCUCGAUGGUCCGAACUAAACCAGUGACUGUUGAAAACAGCAGUUAUUCCAUCAAUUUCCAUCAAGGGAGCAAUGGAUUUCAAAGUGUUUCGGCAAGCUUGUCUCACACUAAGAUCAUCCUCAUGUAGAUGUAAAACCAUCCGCGGGAAAGCAGCAUGAGCCUGCUCAAGAAAAGAGUCUUGUUGAGGCCCAGUUCCGUAAGUGCUCAGUGCUCCAAAUGCCGCAUAAGCAUUGGCUCGUAUCUUCUCAUUCAUGCACUCUUGGAGAUUCCGAAGACGUAUAGAAAGGUUCAGGAGAACAGGUUCAACUGCAUCCCUGGAUGAGGACUCGAGAACCAUCAGCAAACAUGAUACUGCGGUUAACUGAACCGACUCAUCUGAGUCAUCGAGCAAAGCUAAUAUCACCCCUAGGAUUUGAGUAGUAUACUGGAGAACAUGGAUAGAUGGCAUCUGGACAAGCCCUCUUAAACAGAGGCGCCUAACAGUAGGAGAAUCAUCCGAUACAUGCCGGCAAAGUGCUUGCACCAUCUGUUCUAAUAGCG